rnacentral:rRNA from 1 species
AAAGGGUGCGUAGGCGGCCUGUUAAGUCAGGGGUGAAAGACGGUAGCUCAACUAUCGCAGUGCCCUUGAUACUGAUGGGCUUGAAUGGACUAGAGGUAGGCGGAAUGAGACAAGUAGCGGUGAAAUGCAUAGAUAUGUCUCAGAACACCGAUUGCGAAGGCAGCUUACUAUGGUCCUAUUGACGCUGAGGCACGAAAGCGUGGGGAUCAAACAGGAUUAGAUACCCGGGU